CUUGGGCCAAGAGUGACGGGCGAUUUGUGCAUGUUUAAUUUCAUCUAUUAUAUUCUAUUUUAAUUUUUAUUUAAUUUUUAAUUUUAAGUCCUUUUUCCUCUUCUUUUCUUUUUAGAUCUAUUUCUUUUUAUCUUUGUAUCCCAUAUAUUUCUCUUUUAUAUUCUCUGUCUUGAUUUGUAUUAGUAUCUUUUUGAUUUUUCAAAGAAAUUUUUAAAUUUCUAUUUUAUACAAUGAUAUAGAAAAUAAAAAUUCAGAGCUAUUUUAAUCGUGGGCUAUCUAUUAAAAUACAGGAUCCCCUACUUAGGUUAAACACCGCCAUCUUUAUUUAAUUUUCAUUUAUUUAACUACUAAUUUUAUUUUCUCUAAAA
rnacentral:rRNA from 1 species